UAUGUGAUCGUCUCUCGCAUAUCAAUAAGCGGAGGAAAAGAAACUAACAAGGAUUCCCCUAGUAACGGCGAGUGAAGCGGGAAGAGCUCAAAUUUGAAAUCUUAAAGGGUUUCCCUUUACGAAUUGUAGUUUAAAGAAGUGUUUUCUGUUGAGGUUUUGGUAAAAGUUCUUUGGAAUAGGACAUCAUAGAGGGUGAGAAUCCCGUAUUUGACCUUUACUUUCAACUUUGUGAUACACUUUCAAAGAGUCGGAUUGUUUGGGAAUGCAGUCCAAAAUGGGUGGUAAAUUUCAUCUAAAGCUAAAUAUUGGCGAGAGACCGAUAGCGAACAAGUACCGUGAGGGAAAGAUGAAAAGAACUUUGAAAAGAGAGUUAAACAGUACGUGAAAUUGUCAAAAGGGAAGCGUUUGACACCAGUGUUGUUUUUCUGAACAUCAAUUGAAGAACUGUUUAUGCUAAGUUGUUUAGACUUUAUCAGCUAACUGUUUAGUUUUGAGCUUUUCUUUAAUGCACUUUUCAGUUAACAAGUCAACAUCAAUUUCUUUUGCUGUAAAAAAGCUUGAGGAAGGUGGCUUGAGAUUCGUCUUAAGUGUUUAUAGCCUCUUGCCUAUGCAGUCGGAGAGAUUGAGGUCUGCAGCGUAGAUCCUUCGGGGCUAAAUGCAUUUGUGCUAAGUUAUAGCAUUUUAUAGACAACUUGUUGACUAUGAUUUGUCUUGUAGCUUACUCGCUUAUGUUAUUUUACCUACGCUUAGGAUGUUGAGUAGCGACAUACGCA
rnacentral:rRNA from 1 species